CCUGUUUAGACUUAGGAGAACCUACAAAUCUUAGAGAAAGGACAGGGUGAUAAUACACCGCUUACUAGGAGUGAAAUCUGAGCCAUGAAGAGACUCGGAUCAGGUCACAUCAAUUGCUUAGUGUUUCUUUUUCUGAUCGCUAAUUUCUAGUUUGCAUCACUUAGCAAUUAGCAUCUGAAUUUAAAAAAAAAAAUUCUGAAGGCUUAGAGAGUGCUCUUGAACAAGUUUUAAAGCUUAUGCUGAGCUUUACUAGUCCCAGACAGUGAGGGACAGGGUGCAAGGGGGCUGUGCCUGGGGCUCGAGCCAAGAAAUACAAAGGCACCCUGAGACGGGUGCCACCACAGCAGCGAGAGGGACACAGCGCUGGGGGAACUGGGGGGGUACAGAGCAAAGGGCAACAACCCCAGUAUGUGCUGUGGCACACAGAGUCCUGGGGAACGCAUUGCUGUUCACAGGGGCCCCCCCAGGAUACAACACACGGGCUGUGUGGGGGGCACCAGCGCGACAGGACCUCGCGGGGAGGUGAAGACAGUGGGUUUGAGGCCCAGGACGUCGCCACAAGAGAGUCUGAGAGGGGAGAAGCGGUAGGAUGGAAGUGUUGGGUCUGGGAAGAGAGCUGGGGGGUUUGUGGGGGCACACCUGGGAGCUACGGGAGGGCAGUUCUGGGCUCUGGAAGCUUGCAUGGGGGCUCGGAAGGAGCAGUGGUGGCUGUGAGGGCACAGACCAGGGGCUCUGGGUUCUACAGAGGCGCAGGCGGGAGCCACAAACACUCUGGGGGUGCAGGCAGAGGCUACAGGGGAGAAACGGGAAAUCUGGGGGCACAAGUGAGGACUGGAGAAGCGCAGUGGGGGCCGCGGGGGCUCUGGGGGAGCAGUAGGGGCUGUAAGAAGGGGCUACAAAGGCCCUUGGGGUGCAGACCAGGGCUGUGGCGGAGCUGCGGGCGCCUGAGGAGUGCCGCGGGGGCUGGGGGCUCGCGGGACGGGCCACGGGAGAGCACCGGGGGCUCCGGAGAGACCCCACCGGGGUACAAGGAACCUGCAGGAGCGUUUGGGGUUACGGANNNNNNNNNNNNNNNNNNNNNNNNNNNNNNNNNNNNNNNNNNNNNNNNNNCC
rnacentral:lncRNA from 1 species